UCCACAUGGCGCAAUAAUGUCAACAAUGCCACGUUUUCUGAUAAUCUUGGAAAGAACAAGUUAGCAAAUGGUUAGAGGAGUAUAUUAGCUAAAAUAUAUUUAUUUGCAGUAUCUUAACAUGUAUUUUCAUUGUCGAGUGGACUGUAUUUAUUGGACUUGUCUGUUAAGGCGCACUGUGCUCGGCAAAAUAGCCGAGGUUGAAUGUUUAUCUGUCAACCGUGUAACUAGUUCUGCUGUAUAUGCAUAGGUGGCGCCACCAUUCAAUUUUAUUUUGUUUGCUUUUCAAAAUGUGUUUUAUACAAUGGCCCUUCAACAAUGUUCAAACUACCAAAAUAGGCCUGAUACCUUCAACAGCAGACAUCGGAUACACUGUCCCUUUAAUAAUUAUCAACAUUGGCAACACUGUCAGUGUCACUGCCCCUUAAAAUUUCACAAAUCGCGAGACAUCGGAUACACUGUCCCUUUAAUAAUUAUCAACAUUGGCAACCCUGUCAGUGUCACUGCCCCUUAAAAUUUCACAAAUCAAUGCAUGCACUGCAAUGUAGGAUCAGAUCAGCUGAUGCCUCUUUUGUACGCAUAAUAUCAUCAAUUUUACAAUGAAUCUGUGCAAUUCAUUCCUAAACACUACGACACAAACCUUGAGUUGAGCAUACUUGGGGUCAGACAAUUAUUGUCACAUUCACAGUUGAAGUGGCACUCGGCAUGCGACUCGGUAUCGUCCAUUGUAUUUGCAUUAUCAUGCAUAAAUAAACAGUGUGACGUCAAAGAUCGCGCCAAUUGUGAUUGGCUGUCAGAUGUACACUGUGGCAGAAGUAUCCUGCAGAAAAAAAUUUCGCCAACGGGCACUGUCCAGUGGCGGUCUCUGCAGGUUUGCCCUAUAUCGAGGACUUCCCGGGAGUGACACAGUUUAUAUACGCUUUUUUCCUGUGUCAUCAGCCGAGUGCCUGGACCGAACUAAACAAUAGAGAUGGCCUAGAAUCUGGAGUAGGUCACAUUCCAUCAAUUUCGCGCACAUUUCAAUGGUGAUGACAUGGAUGAGAGUUAGCAGUCGUGUAUUUCAUGAGUUCUUCGUAUAAGGAUUUUACUGGAAUUACAGUGGAUAUUAUCAUCAAAACAGCACAGAAUCAGGAAACAGACAGCAAGAUGAGUCAGAUGUGGACGCUUAUGCUUCGUAUCUCCCAACACAUUCAUCGUUGCACUUGAAUAUUGUGCGAAAAAAGAACUUCGAUGUGGAGGAUUGUGUAAUAGACAGAAUGGAUGCCAUAAGAUGCUAUUGCCUUCAAGAAUGUCUCGAGGUUAUAGUUCACCUUAUAUACAAGGUUGGAUAAUUUUUGUCAGAGUUGUGAAGGAAUGACGAUAUUCAGGCCCACACGAAAAGGUUACGAGGGCUCCUUAACCUGUGGUCGGCAGCUGCAUUCGUCUUUCCACUAGUGACCUGGACAGCAAGGUUUCGAAGAUUCGAGUACGUGAGAAUACCCUCCUGGAUAACGCUAAAAUUAAGGGAACUAGGAACAGUUUGCGCUCCAUACAGCCCAAAACGACGUGGACAUACCAUUUACGAAUUGACUAAAUUAAUAUCAUAGGAGGUUUUUUUUAACACCGAAAUAGAAUAAUGAUAAUCUGAGUGUGUCACUUUGUAAUCAACACGUUUACAAAUCAUUGUGAUGGAAAGCCAUCCAAAUUCAGUUCAUAAUGUCGAUUACAAAACCGAAAGGGGCCUGAUGAAAAGCUAUGCAGGUUCGCCAAGUAUCAUAAAACAAAUUUGUUGGAGUGGAAAUCCUCCAAUGUAAUAUUUGAUGUAAAGAAUCUGAAUAGGUUUUGCCUGAUUUAGCUGUAUUGAAAUGGAAAGCCAUUCAAUGCAAUAAAAUCCAUCGAAAUUCAGCGUGUAUGAUGACUUUUUGGAAGCAUUUUUUCUGAGGGAAAAUCAGUCAAGUUAAAUGUUUGUUUUAAACACUAGCGCUAAUGUCACUCUGUGUUAACUUUGAUUGUGUUACUAGGCAUGUUAAAACCGAUGUACAUGGACAAGAUUUAAGACAAUUCUUGCAUUUUAAAUGCAGCAGAACCUCUCUAUUAACGGGUUCCCUGGGACUGACACUUGCUGUCUCUAUAGAGAGGUGUCCCAUUACAGUUGUUCAGGCUACAGUCUAAUCCUAACCUGACGAAUCCAUCAAGUUAUUCAGGGUGCACCCGACAACACUCAAGGCUUUUUUUACUUCCCUUGUACAUGUUGUAUCAGGUCCCAAAACUGAUGUUAGAAUGUUAUCUACUGGUAUAUAACAUCCAUCGUUUAGUGCUUUAGUAAAGAUAGUCUGCCAUCCCAUCAAAUAUAGAUAUUUGCAAGGAAUUUUUGCCUGACCCGAGGAAUGUGAUAUUCCCAAAGCCGACAUCUUAAAUGUUUAUCAUUUUUGUAGGACUCUAGGAAAUACAGAUUUUACGUGUAGUCGUGUAUAUUGAGGCAGUGCAAUUAAUUCAGAUAUUUAUCACUCUGUAUGGUUUAUUUCUCGAGCAAAAUCGUUUUUUCGUGAACUCAUGAUUUAUCGUCUUUUGUACGAUGAGGUGCGGGGAUUCGCAUUGGUCGUGUGUUAAUGGGUUAUAUAGACAGAGCCAAUGUAAAAUUGACCACAAAGGCAUUAGUUUUUUGUAUUGCACGGAGAGGGAAUCCAUGUGUCGUAAAUUAGUCGUCUUUUGCGAGCAGGUUUAUUAUCUAGAGUAUGAUGGGAUAAGAUCACUGUAAGGGCAUACUUUUAGCAUUGCUUUGAUGACAAAGAAAAGCAGUAAAUCUGUAACUAGAGAUACUUCCCAACUUAAAGGUGCAGGGCGCAUUUGACAUGUUUGAUAGAAACUAAGAGGCAUUGAGAUUUAUAACAUAGGAUCAUCUGCCAUUUAAUGCACCCUUAAAAUAACCGGGACUUUUUUUUAUUAGAUCUCGAUCAGGGGCAUUUAUAAUCCAAAUCUUUAUAGGCCUACUGAAGAGAACUGUUUACAAACCGACCAAACAUGCCAAAAAGCUUGCCAAUAUCCUGGUGACCGGGCUCUGCACCAGUGAUCGGCCAGGUCAGGUCUCGAGCACUCUGGCUUUCAAGACGAGACAUUUGCCGAAUUCGUCUGGAACUUUGGGGUAGAAUACCAUGCAGUUGCCUGAAUUCAAUAUUACGAAGGCACUGAAGGAUCAUUUGAAAUUCAAAAUGUAUGGUUUAAACAUUGGUCUAGUACAUUUUUUGAUGUAGUGUUUGAGAUUUUCCAAUUGCUAACUUUCAUAUAGAC